GUCAGGAUGGCCGAGUGGUCUAAGGCGCCAGACUCAAGCUUCCGCUUCCCGGGCCGGGGUUUCUGGUCUCCGCAUGGAGGCGUGGGUUCGAAUCCCACUUCUGACA
rnacentral:tRNA from 1 species